rnacentral:rRNA from 1 species
ACGGGAGGCAGCAGUGGGGGAUAUUGCACAAUGGGGGAAACCCUGAUGCAGCAAUGCCGCGUGAGGGAAGAAGGUCUUCGGAUUGUAAACCUAAGUAGUCAAGGACGAAUACAUGACGGUACUUGAAGAGUAAGCUCCGGCUAACUACGUGCCAGCAGCCGCGGUAAUACGUAGGGAGCGAGCGUUGCCCGGAUUUAUUGGGUGUAAAGGGUGCGUAGGCGGGAGAUCAAGUCAGGCGUGAAAUACCGCAGCUUAACUGCGGGGCUGCGCUUGAAACUGAUUUUCUUGAGUGAAGUAGAGGCAAGCGGAAUUCCUAGUGUAGCGGUGAAAUGCGUAGAUAUUAGGAGGAACACCAGUGGCGAAGGCGGCUUGCUGGGCUUUAACUGACGCUGAGGCACGAAAGUAUGGGGAGCAAACAGGAUUAGAUACCCUGGUA